CCUACGGGAGGCAGCAGUGGGGAAUUUUGGACAAUGGGCGAAAGCCUGAUCCAGCAAUGCCGCGUGAGUGAAGAAGGCCUUAGGGUUGUAAAGCUCUUUUAUCAGGAAAGAAACGAAUUAAUAUAACACAUUAAUUUAAUGACGGUACCUGAAGAAUAAGCACCGGCUAACUACGUGCCAGCAGCCGCGGUAAU
rnacentral:rRNA from 1 species